AUGGCAGAUCAUGGCAGAGCGCAGAGAGCUCCCUACCCCUGCCAAGUACCUUUGCCGCAGACCCAGGUAUGGUGCUGGCUGCAGGUGGGGUCAGUGGGUGGGCAGAGGUGUGGAUGGUGGCAGCAGCGGGGCACUUUGCGUUGCAGGACCUUUGUCGGCUGCCACUUGCCCUUCUGCCCUCGCCCCGGCUUAUGCUGCGUUUGGAGUGCUGCCAGCAGCGGCUGGACACACCCGGCUGUUGAUGAGAACCACCUGCCCUUUAGCAGGGGCAUCGUUUUGCUUGACGGUGGCUGCGUUGACAACGUCCUGAAAGUUGCUUCCCAGAGGAUUCUCCUGCUGAUUCAUUCAUUCAGCUUCCUCCGUCCUGCCAGCCUGUAUUCUUCGGGAACUGAUGAAAACCAAGCUUAAAGAGAGGUCAAAGAUCCACGGAGGCUUUGGGCAGCUGGAGCAAGAGGAGAGCUCCCGACUAUACAGCUGAACGAGC
rnacentral:lncRNA from 1 species